UACAGAGGGGGCAAGCGUUGUUCGGAAUUACUGGGCGUAAAGCGCGUGUAGGCGGCUCGGUAAGUCCGCUCUGAAAGCCCGGGGCUCAACCCUGGGAGGCGGGUGGAUACUGCUGAGCUCGAGUCCGGAAGAGGCGAGUGGAAUUCCUGGUGUAGCGGUGAAGUGCGCAGAUAUCAGGAGGAACACCAAUGGCGAAGGCAGCUCGCUGGGACGGUACUGACGCUGAGACGCGAAAGCGUGGGGAGCAAACAGG
rnacentral:rRNA from 1 species